AACUAACGCUGGCGGCGCGUCUUAAACAUGCAAGUCAAACGGGUAGCAAUACCAGUGGCGAACGGGUGAGUAAUACAUGGAUAACCUACCUUUAAGUUGGGAAUAACACAGAGAAAUUUGUGCUAAUACCGAAUGUGACGGUUCAGCAAAGGCUGGAUUGGUUAAAGCAGCAAUGCGCUUAGAGAUGGGUCCAUGGCUGAUUAGCUAGUUGGUGGGGUAAAGGCCCACCAAGGCGACGAUCAGUAGCCGGCCUGAGAGGGUGAACGGCCACAAUGGAACUGAGACACGGUCCAUACUCCUACGGGAGGCGGCAGUUAAGAAUCUUGCUCAAUGGGCGAAAGCCUGAAGCAGCGACGCCGCGUGAACGAUGAAGGUCUUCGGAUUGUAAAGUUCAGUAAGUAGGGACGAAAAAAAUGACGGUACCUACCUAAAGCACCGGCUAACUACGUGCCAGCCGCCGCGGUAAAAC
rnacentral:rRNA from 1 species